rnacentral:rRNA from 1 species
GAUGAACGCUGGCGGCGUGCUUAACACAUGCAAGUCGAACGAUGAAGCCCGGCUUUCUGUGUGCAUUAGUUGCGAACGGGUGGGUAACACGUAAGUGACCUGCCCUUAAAUCUGGGAUAAGCCUGUUAAACUGGGUCUAAUACCGGAUAGGAGCGUUCACCGCAUGGUUGGUUUUGUAAAGAUUUAUCGGUUUUGGAUGGACUCUCGGGCUAUCAGCUUGUUGGUGAGUUAAUGGCUCACCAAGGCGACGACGGGUAGCCGGCCUGAGAGGGUGACCGGCCACACUGGGACUGCGACACGGACCAGACUCCUACGGGAGGCAGCAGUGGGGAAUAUUGCACAAUGGGGGCAAGCCUGAUGCAGCGACGCCGCGUGAGGGAUGACGGCCUUCGGGUUGUAAACCUCUUUCAGUAGGGAAGAAGCGAAAGUGACGGUACCUGCAGAAGAAGCCCCGGCUAACUACGUG